CCUGGUUUCCCUUCUGCCAUGAUUGUACUUCCUGAGGGUGCCCAGCCAUGCAGAACCAUGGAGUUUUCCUCUUGUUGCCCAGGCUCAAGUGAAUGAAGUGAUCUCAGUUACUGCAACCUCCACCUCCCGGGUUCAAGCGAUUCUCCUGCCUCAGCCUCUGAGUAGCUGGGAUUACAGGUAUGCACCACCAUGCCCAGCUAAUUUUGUAUUUUUAGUAGAGAUAGGUUUCUCUAUGUUGGUCAGGCUGGUCUCG
rnacentral:lncRNA from 1 species